CGGGAGCUUGAACAGGUGCUGCAUGGCUGUCGUCAGCUCGUGUCGUGAGAUGUUCGGUUAAGUCCGCUAACGAGCGCAACCCUCGCUGUGUGUUACAAGUGUCACACGGAACUGCCGGUCAUAAACCGGAGGAAGGUGGGGAGUGACGUCAAGUCAGCAUGGCCUUUACUAUCCUGGGCUACACACACGCUACAAUGGGAAGGGACAAUAGGUUGCGAAGCCGCGAGGCGGAGCCAAUCCAGCAAAACUUCCCUCAGUUCAGAUUGCAGGCUGCAACUCGCCUGCAUGAAGUUGGAGUUGCUAGUAAACGCAGGUCAGCCAUACUGCGUUGAAUACGUUCCCGGGGCUU
rnacentral:rRNA from 1 species